GCCAGGUGUGGUGGCGCGCGCCUGUAGUCCCAGCUACUCAGGAGGCUGAGGCAGAAGAAUCGCUUGAACCUAGGAGAUGGAGGUUGCAGUGAGCCAAGAUUGCGCCACUGCACUCCAGCCUGGGUGACAGAGUGAGAUGCUGUCUCAA
rnacentral:SRP_RNA from 1 species